UAGGGAAUCUUCCGCAAUGGACGCAAGUCUGACGGAGCAACGCCGCGUGAGUGAAGAAGGAUUUCGGUUCGUAAAACUCUGUUGUUAGAGAAGAACAGCGCAUAGAGUAACUGUUAUGCGUGUGACGGUAUCUAACCAGAAAGCCACGGCUAACUACGUGCCAGCAGCCGCGGUAAUACGUAGGUGGCAAGCGUUGUCCGGAUUUAUUGGGCGUAAAGCGAGCGCAGGCGGUCAAUUAAGUCUGAUGUGAAAGCCCCCGGCUCAACCGGGGAGGGUCAUUGGAAACUGGUUGACUUGAGUGCAGAAGAGGAGAGUGGAAUUCAAUGUGAAGCGUUGAAAUGCGUAGAUAUAUGAAGGAACACCAGUGGCGAAGGCGACUCUCUGGUCUGUAACUGACGCUGAGGCUCGAAAGCGUGGGUAGCAAACAGG
rnacentral:rRNA from 1 species